AUUUUUAGUGCUUGAGGGAAAAAAUGUUGUACAGAGCUACACUCACCUUCUUCAUUUUCUUUAUACUUUUGGCUGCAUUGCUCUUCCCUGUAGCACCCACUAGAAUGGCUACAACUAUGAAACCGACUCUUCACGAUGGUAUUCACAGUCCGAAACAUCACAGCCCUUCAGGUCCAAAUGGAUGAAAGGCAACGGAAAUUUCGUUAUCGUUCUCCGGUAACAAUAACAACAACAAUAACAAGAAUAAUGAGUUCAUCUAUCUAGCUUACAACGAGAACUCAUUGACUCGUUUCUAGAUGCGUAGGAGAUUUUACGUAGCAAAAAAGUUGAAAUUAUUUAUGAAUUUUGGUGUAUACAAGUUUCUAAUAUCAAUAAAGCAUGUGAACCAUUACCAGUUUGGUUCAUAUGUUAUACGAAAAUUAAUGAUGAAGGAUUGUUACGUGGGGAUUACU